rnacentral:tRNA from 1 species
GCCACCAUAACUCAGUUGGUAGAGUAGCUGAUUCGUAAUCAGCAAGUCGGCGGUUCGACUCCGCCUGGUGGCUCCA